CAUCUUAAAAAAAAUUCUAACUUAAUUCUUAGUUAACUGUUUUUCAAUACAUGCAUGGUCUCAUUGUGAUACACUUAUUGUGCUAUAGGGUUUGUAAUCUGAUAGGUGGUCUUAGGAAAAAGUUAAGCAUGUACAUUUCCUUCUUCUUUAACCUUAGUUUUGGUUUUUGUUAUUUAAACAAAUGAAUUCCUGAGUUUUUGUAGUGCUAUUGCAUAAUUUAGGAAAAGCUCCUGUGGUCAGUAUUAGUCAUUUUAGUUUGACCAAAGAGUACUUUUUUAAAAGAGCAGUAUUCCUCUGACAUGCGUUUUCUGCAUGAUAGGUGCAGUUAGGCAAUAGCAACACAUCCAAGGAUGAAACUGAAUGCGUAACAAAAGGUUAAAGGGUUUUCCAACAGAUUACUGAGAAUGUUUGACAUUUCCUUAACGACGUAGCUGUUGGUUUAGCUUGAGAUAGCGUAUACAGAAAACUGGAAAGUAUAACUAAGCAGAUUUUUAAAAUAACAACAAAUAUGGUUGCUAUGUUAGAGUGAAAGAGUUAAAAUCAGGUCAAGGAAUAAAAUCACAAGAUGCCCAACAAUCCUGGUGCGGUUUACUCUAGAUCAGAGCUUCAGGGUAAAUGAUUUAGAUUUAUGGUACAACCAGAUUUAUAGUCAUUCCUUUCUGGUUAAUCCAAAUUCUGUCCUGUACAUUUAAUCUCUCAAAAGGUAAAUAAAGGCACAUAAUAUUGGAAUAGAAUCCUUUUUUUUUUUUUCUGUUGGAUUCAAUGCUUUCAUAAUCUUCAUGAAAAAAUGCUCUUAGAUGGGUAAAAACUGAUUUAGAAAUGGAGGCAGCCAUUUCCCAGUAGAUAUUCUUUUUCUUUUUUGGUCGCACCUGCAGCAUAUGUAAAUUUCCAAGGCAGGGAUUGAACCUGUACCACAGCAGCGACCUAAGCCAUUGUAGUCACAAUGGUGCAUCUUAACCUGCUGUGCCACUAGGGAACUCCAGAUAGUAUAUUCUGAUACACAGUAUUGAUACAUGCAGAUAUAUCAUGUUACAGAAUGAAGUGGCCAUUUUUGUGAGAUGAAUUUUCUAAAGAACACUUUGAAAUAUUGAAGGUUUGGAUUACUGUAAAACAAAUUUCCUCCCUCACAAAUUAAAGCUUUUGAUCCCCGUAAUUGCCAAACAUAUAAAUUCUAAUGAGGAUAUUAAAUCUAAGUGUCUAAAUUCUCUCUUUACUAAAAACUUUAAGAAAAUCUCAAAUAAAAGUCUGGAUUGAUAAACGUGCCAAAAAAUUAUUUUUCCAUUUUAAAUUUAAAAAUUUACUGUAAUAGGAGUUCCCAUCAUGGCUCAAGGGUAACAAACCCGACUAGUAUCCAUGAGGAUUUGGGUUCCAUCCCUGGCCUUGCUCAGUGGGUUAAUAAGGAUCUGGUGUUGCCAUGAGCUGUGGUGUAGGUCACAGAUGUGGCUUGGAUCCCACAGUGUUGCUGUGUCUGUGGUUUAGGCCAGCAGCUGCAGCUCUGAUUGGACCACUAGUCUGGGAACUUCCAUAUGCUGCAGGUGUGGCCUUAAAAAGAAAAAAAAAAUUACUAUAAUGUAUGAGACAAGGAGCAUGGAUUGCAUUUGAUUUUGCUUAGUGAUGUUCUCUUUUGAUUAAAAAUGUAAGUUAAAGUUUAAACACAUUUAUUUGGAAAGAAAUUUCUUAGAUUUUUGUUACUUAGCAAUUUAGAGUUUAAUGACUCUUUAUAUUGCUAAUAAACAAUUUUUGCAGUUGGCAUUGCUAAGUUGAAAGAAGUGAGUGAGAGAACAUCAAAACACUUCUGUACUGCUUCAUUUUAAACUUGCUCUUUUCUUCAUCUGAGCAUCCAGAGCAUUAUAUUCUGGAUUCUUUUGGUACCAAUCGACAAGAAGGACAUGAAAGUGACAUUGGAAAGUUACUUUCUAGCCCUUCUACAGGUACGAACCUAACCCAACCUGAGACCUUGCCUUGAGAUCAGAUUGGACCAAACUGCACAUCUGUCAUUUGAUAAUCUCAAGGUAUCUCAAGCAUUCAAAGAGAAACUGGAGGUUUCUAGGGUAUCUGGGUUACACACUUAGUUAGAUAAGCCAAUUCUAAUUUCUUUAGCACUGUCAUUCCUGUAUAUAUUUACAAGGGGGAUAAAAAAGACUCUAAAGAGUUUCAAAUCUCUUUUAUAUUGUACAGCUUACCAUAAAACAGCAUAUUAUGUACAAUUUGUUUUGAAAAGGUAUAUAUCAGAAUUCAUAAUACUUAGGGAGCUCAGAUGUUUUCUUAGGUUAUAAUAUGUCCCUGUGUCCGGGAAGUAACAAAUUGGCUCCUAAUUUUACAGCUGGAUAAACUUCAACACAUUGAGAACAGGUGAUUUGCUGAUGAUCUUGAUGGAAAGUGGGGCUUUGAGCUCUGAACUUUGACUCCUUUUGCAAUCUCAUGAUGGAAAACAUGAGAGUGACCUGAAUUAAAAAGGAAUGUCCAGAAGGUCAUUUGCUGUAAUUUCAUCUUCAUUAUGGUGCUUAGGUGUGAGGAUGCUGCCAGCCUAGGAGGAACAGAGGCAGGAUUCAGCACUGGGCAGAAUCAUACAGUUUCUUCUACCCCACUGCUAGGAAAAGCUACCAUCAUUUUAGUUUCUUUGGGCAAAUCAGAAUCUGUGACUACUGUGGAAGAGGGGUCCAUGCUGAGGUGUUUUUAAAGGAAUACUUAGAAGAAAGACAAAUGAUCUUUGGUGGAAGAGAGUUUUGCCCUCUGCUCACUCUUUUAGGAAUCAUUAGCAGAAAGAGCUGGGGCAGGCAGGCGGCAGCCCCGAAGUGUUAGGACAUCUUUAGAUCAGUGCCUCUCACUGAUCUAACCAGUAUUUUGUGGUAUCCCAUCUUGAAAUGGGAAUUUCUUCCCAUUUAGCGUUUAGACACACAGUGUAACCUGUUUAGACACACAAUUUUAAAAAGUCAAUAUAGGAGUUCCUGUUGUGGCGCAGUGGAAACAAAUCCAACUAGGAACCAUGAGGUUGCCGGUUCGAUCCCUGGCCUCACUCAGUGGGUUAAGAAUCCGGCAAUGCCAUGAGCUGUGGUGUAGGUCGCAGACACAGCUCAGAUCUGGCGUUGAUGUGGCUGUGGUGUAGGCUGGCCUGUAGGUGUGAUUUGACCACUAGCCUGGGAACCUCCGUAUGCCAUGAGUGCAGCCC
rnacentral:lncRNA from 1 species